rnacentral:rRNA from 1 species
AGUGAGGAAUAUUGGUCAAUGGGCGGAAGCCUGAACCAGCCAUCCCGCGUGCAGGAAGACGGCCCUAUGGGUUGUAAACUGCUUUUCCAGGGGGCGAAACUUUCCGAUGUAUCGGGAUUUGACGGUACCCUGGGAAUAAGCAUCGGCUAACUCCGUGCCAGCAGCCGCGGUAAUACGGAGGAUGCGAGCGUUAUCCGGAUUUAUUGGGUUUAAAGGGUGCGUAGGCGGAUCGAUAAGUCAGUGGUGAAACCCUGCAGCUUAACUGUAGACUUGCCGUUGAUACUGUUGGUCUUGAGUGUGGUCAAGGUAGGCGGAAUGUGUAAUGUAGCGGUGAAAUGCUUAGAUAUUACACAGAACACCGAUUGCGAAGGCAGCUUACUGGGCCAUUACUGACGCUGAUGCACGAAAGCGUGGGGAUCGAACAGGAUUAGAUACCCUGGUAGUCCACGCCGUAAACGAUGAUCACUCGCUGUUGGCGAUACACAGUCAGCGGCUAAGCAAAAGCAUUAAGUGAUCCACCUGGGGAGUACGGCCGCAAGGCUGAAACUCAAAGGAAUUGACGGGGGCCCGCACAAGCGGAGGAACAUGUGGUUUAAUUCGAUGAUACGCGAGGAACCUUACCUGGGCUUAAAUGCAGAGUGCAUUCAGCUGAAAGGCUGAUUUCCUUCGGGACUUUCUGCAAGGUGCUGCAUGGCUGUCGUCAGCUCGUGCCGUGAGGUGUCGGGUUAAGUCCCAUAACGAGCGCAACCCUUAUCGUUAGUUGCCAGCGGGUAAAGCCGGGAACUCUAGCGAAACUGCCGGUGUAAACCGAGAGGAAGGUGGGGAUGACGUCAAAUCAGCACGGCCCUUAUGUCCAGGGCUACACACGUGUUACAAUGGCCGGUACAGAGGGGAGCUAUGCUGUGAGGCAAUGCGAAUCUCGAAAGCCGGUCUCAGUUCGGAUCGGAGUCUGCAACUCGACUCCGUGAAGCUGGAUUCGCUAGUAAUCGCGCAUCAGCCAUGGCGCGGUGAAUACGUUCCCGGGCCUUGUACACACCGCCCGUCAAGCCAUGGAAGUUGGGGGUACCUGAAGUCCGUAACCGCAGGGAGCGGCCUAGGGUAAAACCAGUGACUGGGGCU